rnacentral:misc_RNA from 1 species
GAUGAAGAACGUAGCGAAAUGCGAUAAGUAAUGUGAAUUGCAGAAUUCAGUGAAUCAUCGAAUCUUUGAACGCACCUUGCACCCUUUGGUAUUCCGAAGGGUAUGCUCGUUUGAGUGUCAUUGUACUCUCACACUUCUAAUUCCUUUCGGGAUUGGGAGCGGUGGACUUGGGUGUUGCUGCUUUAGUUGUGGCUCACCUCAAAUAAGUUAGUGCAACUCUUGGUUGGACAUAGUACGGCGUGAUAAGUGUCUUCGCCGGCGCCUCUGUAAGGAGGGUGGCCGAUCGGGAGCUCUGUGCUUCAAACCGUCUUCGGACAAUCUUUGACAACUUGACCUCAGAUCGAGUAGGACUACCCGCUGAACUUAAGCAUAUCAAUAAACGGAGGA